rnacentral:tRNA from 1 species
GCAGUGGUGGUGAAAUGGUAGAAUUCUCUUCCACGGGGGAGACUUGGGUUCAAUUCCCAGCCAGUGCA